rnacentral:ncRNA from 1 species
UUGAAGUUUAAUUCUAGUUUAGAAAAUUUAAAUUUAAAAUUAUAUUACAUGCACUUUUUUAAUUGUUUUUAAUUUCUAAAUGGAAAUAUUUUUAAUAAAUACGCAGUAUUUAUUAUUAUUAAUUAAUAAAAUUAGAAUUAGUAAUUUUAUUUAAAAGAAUCAAAUUUCGUGCCAGCAGUUGCGGUUAUACGAUUUCUUUAAUUUAAAUAUUUAAGUUUCAGUUAAUAAAACAAUAAUAUAAAAUAUCUAUAAUUUUGGUGAAAUAUAUUUUAUUUUUAAAAAUUAAUUUUAUGUCUGAAAAAUUUUUGUAUAAACUAGGAUUAGAUACCCUAUUAUUAAAAAUGUGAUAAAAAUAACUUGAUUAUUAUUAGAAAUGAUCUUUAAAUUCAAAGAAUUUGGCGGUAAUUUAUCUUAUCGGAGGAACCUGUUUUAUAAUUGAUAAUCCACGAUAGAAAAAACUUUAAUUUAAUUUGUAUAUCUCUGUCAAGAAUGUUUUAUAAGAAAAAUUUUCAUAUUAUAUUAUAUAUUUAGAAUGUCAGGUCAAGGUGCAGUUUAUAUUAAAGAAAAAAUGGGUUACAAUUAAUUAUUUAUUGGAUUAUUUUCUAUAAGUUAGAAAAUAUGAAAUUGGAUUUGAUAAUAAAUUAAUUAAAUUUAAUUAAUUGAAAUUAGCUCUAAUUUAUGUACAUAUCGCCCGUCACUCUCAUGAUAUUAAUGAGAUAAGUCGUAACAAAGUAACUGUACCGGAAGGUGUAGUUAGAAAGA